rnacentral:rRNA from 1 species
GUUGUAUGGUUAAGUGACUAAGCGUACAUGGUGGAUGCCUUGGCAGUCAGAGGCGAUGAAGGACGUACUAACCUGCGAUAAGCUGUGAGAAGUCGGUAAGAGACGCUAUUACUCACAGAUUUCCGAAUGGGGAAACCCACCCGAGAUAACUCGGGUAUCUGUUACUGAAUACAUAGGUAACAGAGGCGAACCGGGAGAACUGAAACAUCUAAGUACCCCGAGGAAAAGAAAUCAACCGAGAUUCCCUCAGUAGCGGCGAGCGAACGGGGAUUAGCCCUUAAGCAUCUUGGAAGUUAGUGGAACGGUCCUGGAAAGGCCGGCGAUACAGGGUGAUAGCCCCGUACACGAAAACAACCUUGAUGUGAAAUCGAGUAGGGCGGGACACGUGACAUCCUGUCUGAAUAUGGGGGGACCAUCCUCCAAGGCUAAAUACUCCUGACUGACCGAUAGUGAACCAGUACCGUGAGGGAAAGGCGAAAAGAACCCCUGUGAGGGGAGUGAAAUAGAACCUGAAACCGUGUACGUACAAGCAGUGGGAGCCCUUCGGGGUGACUGCGUACCUUUUGUAUAAUGGGUCAGCGACUUACAUUUUGUAGCGAGGUUAACCGUAUAGGGGAGCCGUAGGGAAACCGAGUCUUAACUGGGCGUCUAGUUGCAAGGUGUAGACCCGAAACCGGGUGAUCUAGCCAUGGGCAGGUUGAAGGUUGAGUAACAUCAACUGGAGGACCGAACCCACUAACGUUGCAAAGUUAGGGGAUGACCUGUGGCUGGGGGUGAAAGGCCAAUCAAACUCGGAGAUAGCUGGUUCUCCCCGAAAGCUAUUUAGGUAGCGCCUCGGACGAAUACUACUGGGGGUAGAGCACUGUUUGGGCUAGGGGGUCAUCCCGACUUACCAACCCCAUGCAAACUCCGAAUACCAGUAAGUAAUAUCCGGGAGACACACGGCGGGUGCUAACGUCCGUCGUGAAGAGGGAAACAACCCAGACCGCCGGCUAAGGUCCCAAAGUUCUGGUUAAGUGGGAAACGAUGUGGGAAGGCUCAGACAGCUAGGAUGUUGGCUUAGAAGCAGCCAUCAUUUAAAGAAAGCGUAAUAGCUCACUAGUCGAGUCGGCCUGCGCGGAAGAUGUAACGGGGCUCAAACCAGGCACCGAAGCCGCGGAUUCAUACUUAUGUAUGAGUGGUAGGGGAGCGUUCUGUAAGUCUGCGAAGGUGUAUCGAGAGGUAUGCUGGAGAUAUCAGAAGUGCGAAUGCUGACGUAAGUAACGAUAAAGGGGGUGAAAAGCCUCCUCGCCGGAAGACCAAGGGUUCCUGUCCAACGUUAAUCGGGGCAGGGUGAGUCGACCCCUAAGGCGAGGCCGAAAGGCGUAGUCGAUGGGAAGCAGGUUAAUAUUCCUGCACGACUUGUAAUUGCGAUGGGGGGACGGAGAAGGCUAGGUGGGCCAGGCGACGGUUGUCCUGGUGAAAGUGCGUAGGUGGUGUUUCUAGGCAAAUCCGGAGACACAACACUGAGACACGAGACGAACACACUACGGUGUGGAAGCCAUUGAUGCCCUGCUUCCAGGAAAAGCCUCUAAGCUUCAGAUUACAAGUCAUCGUACCCCAAACCGACACAGGUGGUCGGGUAGAGAAUACCAAGGCGCUUGAGAGAACUCGGGUGAAGGAACUAGGCAAAAUAGAACCGUAACUUCGGGAGAAGGUUCGCUCCUGACAGUGAAGUCCCUUGCGGAUGGAGCAGUUGGGAGUCGCAGUGACCAGAUGGCUGGGACUGUUUAUCAAAACACAGCACUCUGCAAACACGAAAGUGGACGUAUAGGGUGUGACACCUGCCCGGUGCCGGAAGGUUAAUUGAUGGGGUUAGCGCAAGCGAAGCUCUUGAUCGAAGCCCCGGUAAACGGCGGCCGUAACUAUAACGGUCCUAAGGUAGCGAAAUUCCUUGUCGGGUAAGUUCCGACCUGCACGAAUGGUGUAACCAUGGCCAUGCUGUCUCCACCCGAGACUCAGUGAAAUCGAAUUCGCCGUGAAGAUGCGGUGUACCCGCGGCUAGACGGAAAGACCCCGUGAACCUUUACUACAGCUUGGCACUGAACAUUGAACCUACAUGUGUAGGAUAGGUGGGAGGCUUUGAAGGCGUGACGCCAGUUGCGCUGGAGCCGUCCUUGAAAUACCACCCUUGUAUGUUUGAUGUUCUAACGCAGGGCCCUGAAUCGGGCUCGCGGACAGUGCCUGGUGGGUAGUUUGACUGGGGCGGUCUCCUCCCAAAGAGUAACGGAGGAGCACGAAGGUUGGCUAAUCCUGGUCGGACAUCAGGAGGUUAGUGCAAUGGCAUAAGCCAGCUUAACUGCGAGACGGACAGGUCGAGCAGGUACGAAAGUAGGUCAUAGUGAUCCGGUGGUUCUGAAUGGAAGGGCCAUCGCUCAACGGAUAAAAGGUACUCCGGGGAUAACAGGCUGAUACCGCCCAAGAGUUCAUAUCGACGGCGGUGUUUGGCACCUCGAUGUCGGCUCAUCACAUCCUGGGGCUGAAGUCGGUCCCAAGGGUAUGGCUGUUCGCCAUUUAAAGUGGUACGCGAGCUGGGUUCAGAACGUCGUGAGACAGUUCGGUCCCUAUCUGCCGUGGGCGUUGGAUGAUUGAAGGGAGUUGCUCCUAGUACGAGAGGACCGGAGUGAACGAACCUCUGGUGUUCGGGUUGUCACGCCAGUGGCACUGCCCGGUAGCUAAGUUCGGAAUCGAUAACCGCUGAAAGCAUCUAAGCGGGAAGCGAGCCCUGAGAUGAGUCAUCCCUGACCCCUUGAGGGUCCUAAAGGGCCGUUGGAGACCACAACGUUGAUAGGUGGGGUGUGUAAGCGCGGCGACGUGUUGAGCUAACCCAUACUAAUUACCCGUGAGGCUUAACCAUACAACACCCAAGAAGUGUUCU